GUAUAGCUCGUAUUGAUAAUU
ensembl:piRNA 21ur-3679 ncRNA